rnacentral:lncRNA from 1 species
ACUCACACCAUUUAAUUACUAAUAUUUUGUAUAUCUCACGAACCGUCCCUAGAGCAAGUGGCAAAGAACUUGAUGGUUGGUACCCGAGGUCCCAAAUUUGAAUCCUAGUUGAUUUAUAUUUUCAGCUAAAUUUAUUUCUAAAUGAAAUAAACGAAGCGGGUAGCGUGCUACCUAUCUCUCAAAAAAAAAAAAAAAUCAAUAUUUUUUUUAUGGUGCACUCUAUUUAUACAUGUUAUAAAUGUAACGACCCGACACGCUAGCAACAAUAACUCAUUGGGUCCAAACCACCGGGCCCAAAAUGCUUAAGCCGGGUUAUUAUUACUAGCGUGUAGGCCUCAUAUAAACUGAUCGAAAUCAGUAGAGAUUUUAGAGGUGGCUCCUACCAAAUCCGUUGGUGUAGCACUUUGUCCCACAUAGCACUUAGCUUUCACACUUCUAGCCGGUAUUCGUCUCUGAUACUAUUUGUAAUGACCCGACCCGCUAGCAACAAUAACUCGUUGGGUCCAAACUACCUGCUCAAAAUACUUAAGCCAGGUUAUUAUUACUAGCGUGUAGGCCUCAUAUAAAUUGAUCGAAAUCAGUAUCCCAUCCAAUGUGGGAUUAUUGGAGCGUUACAAUAAAAUAGUGCAAUUUCUAUUUUAAUUGUGCAAUAUUUUA